rnacentral:rRNA from 1 species
CACGUUGAUAGGCCGGAGGUGUAAGCACGGCAACGUGUUCAGCCGACCGGUACUAAUCGGCCGAGGGCUUGGAG